rnacentral:rRNA from 1 species
GCCUAGCCCUAAAUCUUGAUGCUUACCCCUACUAAAGCAUCCGCCUGAGGACUACGAGCACAAACGCUUAAAACUCUAAGGACUUGGCGGUGCCCCAAACCCACCUAGAGGAGCCUGUUCUAUAAUCGACAACCCACGAUACACCCGACCACUUCUUGCCUAACCAGCCUACAUACCGCCGUCGCCAGCCCACCUCCCUUGAGAGUACAACAGUGAGCACAAUCGCCUUAACCCCGCUAAUAAGACAGGUCAAGGUAUAGCCCAUGAAGUGGAAGAAAUGGGCUACAUUUUCUAGCCUAGAAAACCAAACGAAAAGGGACAUGAAAUAGCCCCUAGAAGGCGGAUUUAGCAGUAAAGGGGAACAAUAAAGUCCCCUUUAAACCGGCUCUGAGGCAC